rnacentral:misc_RNA from 1 species
AACGCACAUUGCGCCCCUUGGUAUUCCAUGGGGCAUGCCUGUUCGAGCGUCAUUGACACCCUCAAGCUCUGCUUGGUGUUGGGUUGUUGUCGUUUCCUCGCACCCCAGCGACACAGCGACACCCCUCAAAGUCAUUGGCGGCCUUUCUGCCCAGCUUCCCGCGCAGCAGUUCGCGCUUCGGAGACCACUUGGCAGGCUGGCAUCCAUCAAGCUGACCCCUUCAUGCUUGACCUCGGAUCAGGUAGGGAUACCCGCUGAACUUAA